GACGAACGCUGGCGGCGUGCUUAACACAUGCAAGUCGAACGGAGCACCCCUGAAGGAGUUUUCGGACAACGGAAGGGAAUGCUUAGUGGCGGACUGGUGAGUAACGCGUGAGGAACCUGCCUUCCAGAGGGGGACAACAGUUGGAAACGACUGCUAAUACCGCAUGAUACGUUGGAGCCGCAUGACUCCGACGUCAAAGAUUUAUCGCUGGAAGAUGGCCUCGCGUCUGAUUAGCUAGUUGGUGAGGUAACGGCCCACCAAGGCGACGAUCAGUAGCCGGACUGAGAGGUUGGCCGGCCACAUUGGGACUGAGAUACGGCCCAGACUCCUACGGGAGGCAGCAGUGGGGAAUAUUGGGCAAUGGACGCAAGUCUGACCCAGCAACGCCGCGUGAAGGAAGAAGGCUUUCGGGUUGUAAACUUCUUUUAAGGGGGAAGAGCAGAAGACGGUACCCCUUGAAUAAGCCACGGCUAACUACGUGCCAGCAGCCGCGGUAAUACGUAGGUGGCAAGCGUUGUCCGGAUUUACUGGGUGUAAAGGGCGUGCAGCCGGAGAGACAAGUCAGAUGUGAAAUCCACGGGCUCAACCCGUGAACUGCAUUUGAAACUGUUUCCCUUGAGUGUCGGAGAGGUAAUCGGAAUUCCUUGUGUAGCGGUGAAAUGCGUAGAUAUAAGGAAGAACACCAGUGGCGAAGGCGGAUUACUGGACGAUAACUGACGGUGAGGCGCGAAAGCGUGGGGAGCAAACAGGAUUAGAUACCCUGGUAGUCCACGCUGUAAACGAUCGAUACUAGGUGUGCGGGGACUGACCCCCUGCGUGCCGGAGUUAACACAAUAAGUAUCGCACCUGGGGAGUACGAUCGCAAGGUUGAAACUCAAAGGAAUUGACGGGGGCCCGCACAAGCGGUGGAUUAUGUGGUUUAAUUCGAAGCAACGCGAAGAACCUUACCAGGGCUUGACAUCCUGCUAACGAAGUAGAGAUACAUUAGGUGCCCUUCGGGGAAAGCAGAGACAGGUGGUGCAUGGUUGUCGUCAGCUCGUGUCGUGAGAUGUUGGGUUAAGUCCCGCAACGAGCGCAACCCCUAUUGUUAGUUGCUACGCAAGAGCACUCUAGCGAGACUGCCGUUGACAAAACGGAGGAAGGCGGGGACGACGUCAAAUCAUCAUGCCCCUUAUGUCCUGGGCUACACACGUAAUACAAUGGCGGUUAACAAAGGGAUGCAAAGCCGCGAGGCAGAGCGAACCCCAAAAAGCCGUCCCAGUUCGGAUCGCAGGCUGCAACCCGCCUGCGUGAAGUCGGAAUCGCUAGUAAUCGCGGAUCAGCAUGCCGCGGUGAAUACGUUCCCGGGCCUUGUACACACCGCCCGUCACACCAUGAGAGUCGGGAACACCCGAAGUCCGUAGCCUAACCGCAAGGAGGGCGCGGCCGAAGGUGGGUUCGAUAAUUGGGGUGAAGUCGUAACAAGGUAGCCGUUCGAGAACGAGCGGCUGGAUCACCUCCUUUCUAAGGAGAGCUCGGACAGUGAAACACCUGUCCGUAACAUCCUGGUCAGCCGUGUGGUGAAGGCUGAGUAGUUACGUUGUUUAAUUUAGAGGGCAUACGCCUUCGGAGGGAUGAGGAGAGAUGUGGGGAUAUAGCUCAGCUGGGAGAGCGCCUGCCUUGCAAGCAGGAGGUCGCCGGUUCGAUCCCGACUAUCUCCACCAGACGGGCCUGUAGCUCAGCUGGCUAGAGCGUACGACUGAUAAUCGUAAGGUCGGUGGUUCGAGCCCACUCAGGCCCACCAAACAGAAGACAGCGGUUUGCUGUUGGAUCUCAAAACCCAAAGGGAUUUGGAUUUUGAGAUCUGGCUUCAAAAGAGGCUGGAAGGACUGCACCUUGAAAACUGAACAAUGUGAUGAAAGUGAAGUAAGGCAACAGAGAGGCAAGCACUCGAAAGAGUGUGAAGCGUAAGUUUUAAUUGUGGAACAACAUCCGAAAGGAUGAAGGGUAACAAUUACAAUUUCGAAAAACUUCUUUGUGAAGCCUGCAUAAUUCAUGAGAAUAGCUAUCUCAGUGAAACCUCGUUAAAAACUCUCGUCCUUCGUCCCCCGUAAAGUUCGCCAAAAACCAGUUUUUGGCGAAAGCGAGGAGCAACGGAGCGGAGCAAGCGGAGUUUGCGACGAGCAGGUCAAGCUGAAAAGAGCGCAAGGGGAAUGCCUUGGCAUCAGGAGCCGACGAAGGACGUGACAAGCUGCGAUAAGCUGCGGUGAGGAGCAAAUAUCCAUUGACCCGCAGAUUUCCGAAUGGGGCAACCCGGCUGGACAAUAUCCAGUCAGCGUGCGUUGAAUCAAAUAGGCGUACGCGGGGAACCGCCUGAACUGAAACAUCUAAGUAGGGCGAGGAAGAGACAUCAACCGAGAUUCCGUAAGUAGUGGCGAGCGAACGCGGAAGAGGCCAAACCGGAGGAUUUAUUCUCCGGGGUUGUGGACGAUCAUCACGCAAACUAGUCUAGCGGAACGGUCUGGGAAGGCCGGCCAAAGAGGGUGAGAGCCCCGUAGGCGAAAGGCGAUGUUUGUAGAUCGGAUCCAGAGUACCGCGGGACACGUGAAACCCCGUGGGAAACAGGGGGGACCACCCUCCAAGCCUAAAUACUACCUGAUGACCGAUAGAGGAGC
rnacentral:misc_RNA from 1 species